GUCAAGACAUCUAUGGCACAAUAGGUCAGUGCAUCUGGGUGUAAAUCAGAAGGCUGGUAGUUCCAGCCCACCCAGGGACG